rnacentral:lncRNA from 1 species
UGGUUUUUAUCUUGAAAUUUAAUUAAAGAAAAAUGUCUCAAAGUGAUUAAGCACAUCUGACUUCCAGCUUCUUGUAAUGGCACAAGCCAGUGCAGUGAGUUGUAGAAAGCGAGCUCAGAGGUUUAUUUUCAUUUAAAAAAAGGGAAGAAAAGAAAAAGAGAAAACUCUCAAGAUGUGGUCCGAGGGUGAGGUCCUGUUACAAAAGUGGCUGUUUACUUAUAAACAAGAUUAAAAUGUAGUGAACAAAGUUUCAUACAGCUUAAACAAAACCACUUUUCUGAAGCAGUACAAGUAAUGUUUCAAGACCGUAAGAACACCAAAAGCAGAGAACAAAAAAGGCAGAAGAAUCACACAACAUUUCUUACUGAAAUGAUAAAUAAUGUACAUUGAAUAGUAAUAGCUUGACAUUUUUAUUGCUCCAAUGGCAGCGUGUUGACAAGUAAAUGUAGUGAACUGUCGUAGUGGGACAAUCAUAAACAGUUAUGGGUUUGCAUGUGGAGUUUUGUACCUGUCAAGGAAAGCAUAAGAACUUUGAUUUAUCAAGACCACAUAAGAUUCAGUAAAAGUGUUUUCUGUUUUAAAGCCACCCAUCUAUAGCUGAACCCGCUUCCUAGACUUGUCUGCGCAUGUCCUGGAACACCUUUUUUCCCUCCUAUGGUAAAAUAAGUUCACAGAUGCAGGUGGGCAAUCAGCAGGUAGGUGCUCUGAUGCUCUGCCAGGGUUCUUUAAUACUUCAGUACUCAUUAGAUACAAAACUUAUUAGAUACAAACCCAAAUAUUUCCUAGAUAAAGUCCAGAAAGGAAAGUUAGUGUCAGCAUGUUUAUAUGAAAAAUGAAACAUCGAUUUGGUAGACAGUGACUGCUUUUAAAACUCCACUGCAAACUCACACUACUGAAUGUUACUAGUUCCCUUUUCUCCUUACUCCCUGCACAAUGUGUUCUCUUUUGCUGGAACCAGUCAAGGCACUUUCUUUAACACUUCCAUGACACUUGGCUUACAUUAAUCUCUGUUCUGUUGCCACAAAUUCUUUCUCCAAUGAAAAAGUAUCCUUCAUAAAGACAUUUACCAAUUCAUGCUGACUUCUUAUGGUCAACAAUGAGCUUUUCUGUCUUGUGAGAUAGAAUUACCUGCUGAUUGUUCAAAGCAGAGGAUAGCCCAGGCAAAAAGGAACCUGUAGGCAGAGCAGAAGUGCACAGUUCACAGCAGUACUUACAGCUGCCUUCCUCUUUAAAUGAGCUAUGGAACCUGUGUCUUUCAGAUGCAAAUAUAAUACUGUGUGCUGGAUUUGCAUUUUAAUGCAAAUUUAUCUACUUACUAAAACAUGGAGCUUACUGUAAAUGGCAGUUUCAGCUCUCAUAUUCUUUACCAGUUGCUUUAUGGCCACAUAUUUACAUGUCUAUUAAAACACAAAGAAGAGACCCUUUCAUGGUUUGAAGACUAUACAGUUAACAAUUAAGGACAAAGUAAAAUGUAUACAAUUUACAUACUUGAAAUGUAAACUUUAAAAACUAACAUUCUCAUUCACCACCGGCAAUUACUAGAGCUCUCAUUCUGCUUUGCCUGGUCUCUCAGUUGGAAAAGAACAUUUUGAAAUACAGUCACAUAAAGAACCUGCUGAGAAUUCUUGAGUUUCUUACACACAAAAAGAAAAUAACAAAGUUCUGGCGUAACAGUAAGAAACUCCCAUUGUUCAACUAAUGAAGCUAAGCUCCCUUCACUUACUCCAGAAACUUCUUCUAAGGGAAAUACACAGAACUGGGUGUGCUCUUUCAGUUUUGGUUUACAU